rnacentral:tRNA from 2 species
GGAGAGGUGGGUGAGUGGCUGAAACCAGCUCCCUGCUAAGGAGCCGUACGCAUUGCGCGUACCGAGGGUUCGAAUCCCUCCCUCUCCG